CUGGGAUUAUAGGUGUGAGCCACUGCACCUGGCCAGAUUGACUUUUAAAAAACUUUUAAUUUUGAAAAAAUUUUAGAUCCAUAGAAGCACAUAAAGAUUAUAUGAAGAGUUCCUGUAUGCGCUUAACCCAGCUACUUCUGAUGUUAAUCUUGCAUGACCACAGUACAUUUGUCAGAAGAAAUUAAACAUAGGUACAAUGUGAUAAACUACAGCCUUUAAUUAGAUUACAUCAGUUUUUCUACUAAUGUCCUUUUUGUUUGUUUCAGGAUCAAAUCCAAGAUUCCAUUGCAUUCUGUUGCACUUGAUCAUCCUGUUUCCUUAUUCUCCAUUUGUCUCCUUAGUCUCCCCUUCCUGGCCAUUCUCAAGCACAACCUGGGUGAGGCUCUGUCAUUGCUUAAUGGAUCAGCUGUAUAGUAACAGCAGAAGAUAAAACAUGGCUUCCAGAUCAGCUAAAGUAUCAACAAGAAUGAAAAUGACACUUCAAAGGAUUUAAGUGAAGAGAGUGUCGUGAAGAUUAUUUGUAGAGAUGUGGGAUCAGAUGAGAAACACCCUGGGACCAGAAACAGCAGAAGCCCUAAUGCCUGCCAAAGGGCAAGACCAGGGUGAGCUCCUACCCACAGUAUCUGGCGAGAGCUGGAGCCCUGAGACAGGGAUGGGGCCUACUGGCACUUGGAAAGUGUACUGGGGUCUUAGUGAACUGAUGUCAUUUCCUCUUCUCUUCCCCAGGAUUUGAGAUUUCUAAAAACAACAACAACAACAACAACAACAACAACAAAACCCUAUACAAAUCUAAAUUAGUUAAAAAAAAAAAAACUAAAGUGGUUGGAUGGGAGCUAUGGCUUAGGAAGAGAAACACAGCCCAUCAAAGAGGGACUAGGGAUUUAAAUAACCCUCUCUUCUCUCUUCCUGUCCAUGCCUUCUGUUGGGUGAAACUAGCAGCCAGAAGGCAAGGGGGCCUGGGUGGAGAUGUCCAGUGGCAUUAGCCUCCCAGGUACAGAGAGAUGCAGAGAAAGAUGCAAAAUAGACCUGGAGUAGCUGAGAAUCAUCUUGUCAUUUGUCACCUAUUAGCCAGUUGCUUUGUCCAAGGCCUUGAGCCUCAGUUUUCUAUAGAGUGGGCAUCAAACUUGUCUACCUCUUGUCUGCCUCACAGGGCCAUGGGGAACAGCCAGUGAAAGUGUUAAAAUCAUUCGCUUGCCAUUUGACCCUCUUCUUCAUCUGCAUUAUCUCACUUAAUUCCUCAACAGCCGGGUAGGGUAUAAGGCAGAGAGGCCAGGGGACAAGGACAGGCAGGCACUUUGGAAUCAGAAGAAGAGGUCAUCAACUGUGGCUCAGCCAAGCUUUUUAACUGUGAGAUCAUGGGAAACUGAAGCUCUCUGAACCUCAGCUAUUGUCUUACUUUGAGCUCCCCCAAAAUCACAUCCUGAGACAAAUAUUUGAGUGCAAAUAGUUCAUUUGGGAGCUGAUCCCAGGAUGCACCAGGAGGGACUGGGCAGGGACUCAGAAAAGGGAAGAAACCCAAUUAUUGGUGUAUUCACAAGUGGGCAACUCGGUCUCAGUGCCACAACUGUGAUGAAGACUGUGCAGGACACAUCCUGGGGUUGGUGGAAUGCAGGGUGCGGGUGCUGGGGUGUUUAUUCACCACCUUCCAUCCCUCACUGGCUGAGGGUUGUUCUUGGAAGUUUUAACUCCCUGGCCAUUUCACACUGCCUGCUGUGGCCAGAGGAGACUCAAGCAGCCAGAGAGUGCCAUGGGGUGGAGACACACAGGAAGCCACAUAGAUGCCCUCCAGCAUGGGCCAGGAGGGAAUGUCUGGGGGACCGACAGCAUCCGUUUUGUUUUUCUAAUUUGUAUGCUAGAGAUGAUGUCUAUGUCACAGGACAGUGACAGAGAUGAAAUGAUUAAUGAUUAAAUGGCUAAAUGUCUUCCAAGUGCCUGGCUCAUAGUAGGUAUCCAAAGAAAAGGAGGCAUUCAUAGUAAAGAUGGGUAAAUAUUCAUGUGUUACAGAUGGAAGCAAAUGGGACUCAAAGAAGUUAAGACAUUUGCCCUAAAUCACACAGACAGUUCUUAAAUGGCCAAGUCAGAUCUGGCCCCAGUUUGUUCCCCUUCCACUCUGCCGUGGCUACCUCCUGUUAAUGGACUAUACAUUUAGAGUGCUUUUGCCUCAUAAAGUGUGUGAAGCUCCAUAAAUAUAAAAUGUUUGUAGUCCCAGCCUUGCUAGCUCAAAUCCAAGUUAAAUUGACUCUUGGGUAGUUCUUCUCUCAGCCCCAAUUCUCAUAAGCUCAAAUAUAUAUUUUCUUAGUCCCCUGGGAUCCUCCAUUCUGUGCCCCAACAAUCCCUAACCCUUCAUUAGUAAUGCCUAGAUGUCUCCACAUAUUUCAAGGGGUGCCAGAAAGUCUCCAGACAAAAUAAAAGAUGCCAUAAAACACCAAGUGCAUAAAACUCUAGACACCUUGUUCUCCAUGUCAUGUUUCCUUUUAAAAACAAAUAUUUUGAAAUGCCCUCUUUACUAUCCUGCUGAUACACACAUAAAAACUAAUAAAAUGCACAAACUCUUUUCUUAAAAAUUGUGGGAAGAUAUACAUAAUAAAAAAUUUACCAUUUUAACC
rnacentral:lncRNA from 1 species